rnacentral:rRNA from 1 species
GACGUAGGGCGCGAGCGUUGUCCGGAAUUACUGGGCGUAAAGAGCUCGUAGGCGGUUUGUCGCGUCUGCUGUGAAAUCCCGAGGCUCAACCUCGGGCCUGCAGUGGGUACGGGCAGGCUCGAGUUCGGUAGGGGAGACUGGAAUUCCUGGUGUAGCGGUGAAAUGCGCAGAUAUCAGGAGGAACACCGGUGGCGAAGGCGGGUCUCUGGGCCGAUACUGACGCUGAGGAGCGAAAGCGUGGGGAGCGAACAGG